rnacentral:tRNA from 4 species
CGGGAAAUAGCUCAGCCUGGUAGAGCACUGCCUUCGGGAGGCAGGGGCCGGAGGUUCGAAUCCUCUUUUCCCGACCA